rnacentral:rRNA from 1 species
UACGUAGGUGACAAGCGUUGUCCGGAUUUACUGGGCGUAAAGAGCUCGUAGGCGGUGUGUCACGUCGGCCGUGAAAACCUGCAGCUUAACUGUGGGCGUGCGGUCGAUACGGGCAUCACUGGAGUUCGGCAGGGGAGACUGGAAUUCCUGGUGUAGCGGUGAAAUGCGCAGAUAUCAGGAGGAACACCGGUGGCGAAGGCGGGUCUCUGGGCCGAUACUGACGCUGAGGAGCGAAAGCGUGGGGAGCAAACAGG